UGGCCGACCAAGAAGAUGUUCAAACAACCAAGAGAUAUGUUAGUCCAAAGACAGAAUGAGCAGCGAACCUUUACCACUUAUUUGUGUAGAAGAGUAUGGUACCAGGGGUGCAGCUGACUCUGAUUCCCGGCUUGUUCUAAUGAAAAAAGGCAGAUGAGGCACUGGAAUCCAAAUGUAAUCAAAAAUGCCAUUGUAUGAGGAUUGACCUGCAAUGCAUGGCAAUCAUCUUAACACAACUGCAACGCCUUCCUUGGAAAAAUGAGUGCAAGAUGGAAACAAAGUGUUCAGUGGAACAUCUUGUCAUCUCAAAUAUUUGAUGACAUACAUAUUGAUGUGAAGUUGAAGAUAAAAGUCAUCUGUUGGUCCGUGAUUAUUAAAUAAAUCCGAACAUAUAUUUUAAAAGGGUAAAAUGAUAAAGGAUUUAUAUACGCUUUAAGUGGUUUUCCUAUAUUAUGGAGGGAAGAUAACUUCAAAAACAGAAACAGAUGGCAUCGGCAGACCAAAUAAAGGAGAACUAUUUUGUUCAGUUCAAUUUUUAAGACUGCAGAAAAUCUGUUAAUAGAGCACAUCCCUGCAAAUGCCAUAUUGUAAACUGGGCUCUUUAAAAUGUGAAAAGGUGAAAGUGGUCUAGAGGAUAAGCCCCAAAUUCAAGGUUGUGAGUUCAAGACUCCAAGAUACUUUCUAUUGACCUCAGGAAAAGGAUGUCCAUACUUGUUUCUUCUUAGGCAACAGACUUAAGAGUGAUUUUGUAAGCUUCCAGCUUGCAUAGCAAUCUGAUAAGGCAUAAAAUAAGUACUAGCUGACUUGCAAACAGUUUUUCCAUUUGUGUUGAUUUAUUUUUCAGUCUGUUGGAAUGUUUAUUAGAAGUGAUGCGCAUUGCUUACUGCAACCAAUAUUUAUUUUCUUUAUUAAGUUGAA